rnacentral:rRNA from 1 species
UACGUAGGGCGCAAGCGUUAUCCGGAAUUAUUGGGCGUAAAGAGCUCGUAGGCGGUCUGUUGCGUCCGCUGUGAAAACUCGGGGCUUAACCCCGAGCCUGCAGUGGAUACGGGCAGACUAGAGGUAGGUAGGGGAGAAUGGAAUUCCCGGUGUAGCGGUGAAAUGCGCAGAUAUCGGGAGGAACACCGGUGGCGAAGGCAGCCCCCUGGGUCAAGACUGACGCUCAUGCACGAAAGCGUGGGGAGCAAACAGG